GGGGGUAAAUUAAUUAAUUUAAUAAUAAUAAAAGAAAUUUUUAUUUUAUAUAUUUUAAUGGGGGUUAAAGUAUAUUAAAAGAAAAAAUUUGAAAAUUUAUAGAGAAUUAGUAUUGUAAGAGAAUGAUGAAAUAAUAAAUGAAAAUUUAAUUAUUAUAAAAGUAGAUUUAAUUUGUUGUAUCUUGUGUAUCAGAGUUUAUUAAAAAAAAUUUUUAAUUAAAAAUUUUUCGAAUUUAAAAGAGUUAAUUAAUUAAAAUUUUUAUUGUUGCAUAAAUAUAUUAAAUAAUUAAUUAGAAAUGAAAUGUUAUUCGUUUUUAAAUAUAUCUAAUUUUUUUAGAAAUAAAUUUAAUUUAGAAUUUUUUUUUUAUUUUAUAAUUUAUUAUUUAUAAAAUAAAAAUUAAAUUUAAUAUUUUAAGGGAUAAGCUUUAAAUUAAAUUUUUAUAAUAUAAAUUUAAUUAUUUAAAAUUAAAAUUUUUAAAAUUUAUAUUGUUUAUAAAUUAUAUUUUUUUAUAAAAAUUUUUAAUUAAAAUAAAAUUUUUUAUUCAUAUUUAAUUUUUUAUAAAAAAAUAAUUUUUAAUAAGGUAAGAUUAGAUAUAAUGAUAAAAUUAGUAUAAUUUGUAUAAAAAUAAAAUAAUUUUAAAAAUAAUUUAGAAAAUUAAAAAAAAGGAAUUCGGCAAAUAUUAAUAUUCACCUGUUUAACAAAAACAUGUCUUUUUGAUUAUAAUUUAAAGUCUAAUCUGCCCACUGAUUUUUAUUAAAGGGCUGCAGUAUAUUGACUGUACAAAGGUAGCAUAAUAAGUAGUCUUUUAAUUGGAGACUUGUAUGAAAGAUUUGAUGAAAUAUUAACUGUCUCUUUUUUAUAUUUAGAAUUUAAUUUUUUAGUAAAAAAGCUAAAAUUUAUUUAAAAGACGAGAAGACCCUAUAGAGUUUUAUAUUUAUUUUAUUUAAAAAUUAUAUAUUUAUAUGUAAUUUUUAAAUAAAAUAAAUAUUUUAUUGGGGUGAUAAAAAAAUUAAUUAAACUUUUUUUUUUAUUUUACAUAAAUUAAUGAAUAUUUGAUCCAUAAUUUAUGAUUAUAAGAAAAAAUUACCUUAGGGAUAACAGCGUAAUUUUUUUUUUUAGUUCAUAUAAGAAAAAAAGUUUGCGACCUCGAUGUUGGAUUAAGAUAAAAUUUAAAUGUAGAAGUUUAAAAUUUUUGAUCUGUUCGAUCAUUAAAAUCUUACAUGAUCUGAGUUCAAACCGGUGUAAGCCAGGUUGGUUUCUAUCUUUAAAAAAUUGAAAUAUUUUAGUACGAAAGGAUCAAAUAUUUAAAAUAAUUUUAAUUAAUAAUGAAUUUUACUAAUAUUUAUUUAUAUUUAUUUAUAUUAUAUAUAUAUAU
rnacentral:rRNA from 1 species